rnacentral:lncRNA from 10 species
ACUCAGUGUGAAAUGGAGAGUGCCUGGAGGCUUGUGGGCAGAGAAGUGAUAUAACGAGGCUUGGAUUUUAAAAGGAGCCCUCAGGUUGCUGUGUUGAGAACAUACUUCAGGGGGCAAGAGUAGAGGCCAAGAGACCAACUAGGAGACAUUAAAGCAUCUGACUGAAGUCAUCCAGGUCCCUGGAAACCGGAGGCAUGGCAUGCUGUGCAGGGCCACACGGGGAAGCACCAGGGCUGUCAGGAGACAGACAGAGUGAAGGGGAAACAUGGACAAGAGCCUUCAUUGUGGUUUCCACAGGAAGAAAUUAGCAAGGCAGGAAUUUGAAGAGCAGUGUUGCAUAGAAAAUGAAGAUGAAAAUAUUCUUUGAGGAGAGCCAUGACCUUCAAGAAAAGAAGCAGCUAUUCAUUUAUGACUCAAGACUUCAAAAAUAUAGUGAAUGAUCAUGAAAGUUGGCCAGCUUUUAUGGACUACCUCUUUGCAAUUGCCCAUAACCUAGCCCUGUAAUAUACCUUUUCAUGUGUCAAUUUUUUUUGACUUUUCAUGAUUUUUUUUCAUUUUUUUCCACAAUUUUAACUUGUCAGCAUAAUUUUUUUUUAAUUUGAUAAGCUAUGUAUUUCAUCUUCACAUCAUUUCCAACACUGGACUUGUAUAAAUUGGUGAAAACUUUUAGAGAGUUCUAGUUCAUUUUAUGCAUUUUUUGCAAAUUUGACACCAUGAAAGGGCAUUAUCACAACGUUGACUUUAUGUGGAAGCAUUGUGUGUGUACAUAAAAAUGUAAAAACUUCCUCAAUAAAUGACAAGAUGUCUUUUUUGUACAUCUGCACUUGUGAAAGAUAAAAUUUCUUGAGAUCUUGGCUCUUUGGGUGACUAUGUGGGUGUUGGUGACCCAUCACGGUUUUUGCUCAAUCUUGUCAAAACUUAGGUUGUCUGUCACCGUAUUUUAGAUGACCACAGUUAUAAAAAUGAGUGCAUGCAAUUACCAACCAUAGUGUUAUGUGUCAAUACAUUUUGCUUUUUGACCUAUUUUUUUAUGAAUAUGGUUUGUCUGCCCAUAACUGUUAUACCUGCCAUUGGUAUAGCUGAGUGUCUACUCUUGUAAAAAUAUGUAUGUUAUUAUUGCCUGUUUUAUUGUGGAAAGUGGCCUAUGAAGUGUUCUGUCAUGUUUUUACGCUUCUCAAAUAAAUC